ACAAAUAUAGCAGGAAAGCCCAGAUCAAUUAAUACUUGAUUAAGGAACCUCCAGUCCAAUGUGUCAUAAGCCUUCCUCAGGUCCACCUUCAAGACACAUCUAGGAGAUAUAGCUUUCCUAGAAUAGCCUUUGAAGAUUUCAUGACCGAGGAUGAUGUUAUCCACAAUGCUUCUACCUUCAAUGAAAGCAGAUUAAGCCUGUCCCACCAAUUCACCUAUCACAUUUUUCAUCCUCCUAAUAAUGACUUUGGAGAUGAUCUUAUACAAGGUGGUGCAGCAACUGAGGAUGCUGUUAUCCACAAUGCUUCUACCUUCAAUGAAAGCAGAUUGAGCCUGUCCCACCAAUUCUCCUAUCACAGAUUUCAUCCUCCUAGUGAUGACUUUGGAGAUGAUCUUAUACAAGGUGGUGCAGCAAGCUAUAGGUCUGUAAUCUUUCACAGUUGCUGGGGUUUUAUCU
rnacentral:lncRNA from 1 species